rnacentral:rRNA from 1 species
UACGGAAGGCAGCAGUGGGGGAAUAUUGCACAAUGGGCGCAAGCCUGAUGCAGCCAUGCCGCGUGUAUGAAGAAGGCCUUCGGGUUGUAAAGUACUUUCAGUCGUGAGGAAGGUGUUAAGGUUAAUAACCUUAGCAAUUGACGUUAGCGACAGAAGAAGCACCGGCUAACUCCGUGCCAGCAGCCGCGGUAAUACGGAGGGUGCGAGCGUUAAUCGGAAUUACUGGGCGUAAAGGGCACGCAGGCGGUUAAUUAAGUUGGAUGUGAAAUCCCCGGGCUUAACCUGGGAAUGGCAUUCAAGACUGGUUAGCUAGAGUCUUGUAGAGGGGGUUAGAAUUCCAUGUGUAGCGGUGAAACUGCGUAGAGAUGUGGAGGAAUACCGGUGGCGAAGGCGGCCCCUGGACAAAGGACUGACGCUCAUGUGCGAAAGCUGGGGAGC